GACGAACGCUGGCGGCGUGCCUAAUACAUGCAAGUAGAACGCUGAAGGAGGAGCUUGCUCUUCUGGAGGAUUUCCGAACGGGUAAGUAACGGGAAGGUAACCGGCCUGGUAGGGGGGGAUAACUAUUGGAAAGGAAACUUAAUACCGCAUAACAGAAGAGGUUGCAUGACAUUUACUUAAAAGUUGCAAUUGAAUCACUACAAAAUGGACCUGCGUUGUAUUAGCUAGUUGGUGGGGUAACGGCCCACCAAGGCGACGAUACAUAGCCGACCUGAGAGGGUGAUCGGCCACACUGGGACUGAGACACGGCCCAGACUCCUACGGGAGGCAGCAGUAGGGAAUCUUCGGCAAUGGACGGAAGUCUGACCGAGCAACGCCGCGUGAGUGAAGAAGGGUUUCGGAUCGUAAAGCUCUGUUGUAAGAGAAGAACGAGUGUGAGAGUGGAAAGUUCACACUGUGACGGUAUCUUACCAGAAAGGGACGACUAACUACGUG
rnacentral:rRNA from 1 species